CAGAUCGGCAUUACCCGUAUGACUUCCGGGUUUUGCUGAUCCAACUCUGCCCAUGCGUCUGACAUCACGCACUUCCCUGUCAAAAGGAUGCCACGGCCGCAUUCACAAGGUCAAUCAAUUUGACACUUUAAAAUUUUGCUACUUUGUUGCCAAUUGCCGACAGAGCUCCUUCUAUUGAUCACCCGUGUACUGAACCUCUGCUACCUGAUCCUGACUACCCUGACUUCUUCACUCCCAGACUCGGAACAGACUUGACUACGAAUUCCUCUUAUCCUCAGUAUACUGCAGGGAUCCUCAAUCCUCAUAAACCAGGACUUCCAUUCUCAUCAUCCAAAGGAAUCAAGCUAAGUUCUUCAGUUAAUAGGAUUUAUAAUUGGAUCAUACCUUAUAGUUAUUUUGAUGGAUAUAGGGAAUACUAAUAUCUGCCCUCUGGGAUUCAAUUACUUCUUAUUUGCACUACUGAAACUUCAAUUACAGCUGAUUGCUCUUUCCUAAUUUGUUUCAUUUAUAAUUGUUGGACUCUAAAAGGACUAUAACCACUAUCCAAAUCAGGAUCUAUUUAUUUAACUUAAAGGACUGUGUUACUUCCCUAAAACAGGAAUGACCCGUUUCUCCUAUUUUCUAUUUAAGUCUAAUGAACUGUAUUAAUUAUUCCUAAUCAAGGAGUUACCAUAUUUUAUUUUUUGCUAUUUGCAUACCAUUUUUCUUUGAAGCAAUUCUAAGCAACAUUACCAUUGCUAAAUGCAAC